GCUAUGUGCGGAAGGGAUAAGUGCUGAAAGCAUCUAAGCAUGAAGCCCCCCUCAAGAUGAGAUUUCCCAUAGCGUAAGCUAGUAAGAUCCCUGAAAGAUGAUCAGGUUGAUAGGUUCGAGGUGGAAGCAUGGUGACAUGUGGAGCUGACGAAUACUAAUAGAUCGAGGACUUAACCAUAUAA
rnacentral:rRNA from 1 species